GGAAGUAAAAGUCGUAACAAGGUCUCCGUUGGUGAACCAGCGGAGGGAUCAUUAUCGAGUUUACAACUCCCAAACCCAUGUGAACUUAUACCUUUACUGUUGCUUCGGCGGGAUCGCCCCGGGAAACAGGUUCGCGAGAGCCCGGCCCCCGGAACCAAGGCGCCCGCCGGUGGGAUUUACAGAACUCUUGUAUGUUUUUUUGCACGUCUGAGUGGAUCAUAUAUCAAUGAAUCAAAACUUUCAACAACGGAUCUCUUGGUUCUGGCAUCGAUGAAGAACGCAGCGAAAUGCGAUAAGUAAUGUGAAUUGCAGAAUUCAGUGAAUCAUCGAAUCUUUGAACGCACAUUGCGCCCGCCAGUAUUCUGGCGGGCAUGCCUGUUCGAGCGUCAUUUCAACCCUCAAGCCCGCAGCGGCUUGGUGUUGGGGGCCGGCAAUAGUGCCUCGCGUUGUAUGAUGCGAGCGCGCGCCGCCCCCGAAAUGAAUUGGCGGUCUCGUCGCGGCCUCCUCUGCGUAGUAGCAUAAACCUCGCAACGGGAGCGCGGCGCGGCCACUGCCGUAAAACGCCCAACUUUUUCUCAAGAGUUGACCUCGAAUCAGGUAGGAAUACCCGCUGAACUUAAGCAUAUCAAUAAGCGGAGGA
rnacentral:rRNA from 1 species